ACAUACCACUUGUUGCCUCGGCGGAUCAGCCCGCUCCCGGUAAAACGGGACGGCCCGCCAGAGGACCCCUAAACUCUGUUUCUAUAUGUAACUUCUGAGUAAAACCAUAAAUAAAUCAAAACUUUCAACAACGGAUCUCUUGGUUCUGGCAUCGAUGAAGAACGCAGCAAAAUGCGAUAAGUAAUGUGAAUUGCAGAAUUCAGUGAAUCAUCGAAUCUUUGAACGCACAUUGCGCCCGCCAGUAUUCUGGCGGGCAUGCCUGUUCGAGCGUCAUUUCAACCCUCAAGCCCUCGGGUUUGGUGUUGGGGAUCGGCGAGCCCUUGCGGCAAGCCGGCCCCGAAAUCUAGUGGCGGUCUCGCUGCAGCCUCCAUUGCGUAGUAGUAAAACCCUCGCAACUGGAACGCGGCGCGGCCAAGCCGUUAAACCCCCAACUUCUGAAUGUUGACCUCGGAUCAGGUAGGAAUACCCGCUGAACUUAAGCAUAUCAU
rnacentral:rRNA from 1 species